GUCUAGGUAGUAUAUUUAUUACACCGCCUUUUCGAGGCGGAGAAAAACAUCAGUUUUCUAGAUU
rnacentral:tRNA from 1 species